ensembl:lncRNA
GUGUACCUGAUGUCAUUACCUGUUUCUGGAUUGAGUUGGUACCAGAGUAAGAUUAGGUACUGGACCGGCCCCAGAAGGUCCCAUCUGCCUCCUCCAGCGACACCGUGACCUCUGGCAAUAAAACUGAUGUAAGCGUAAACGAGAAGAAAGCAGGAAAAAGAAAGAGUCUGUCAGCACCCACACAGUGUUUAUUCCUCAUCAUCCAACACCACAGCAGCUCUGGCAUCUGUUACGCCCAGAGUAUGUGUCUGCGAGGCGGCAUGCUGCCAGAUCUCACAGCUGCCAGAGAGAGAGAGAGAGACAGAGAGAGAGAGAGACAAGGGGGAAAUAAACUGCCGCACAACUGGAAUGCAGUCAACAGUCGGUUCCUCAGGCGUCUGUAACGUCACAAUCAGGCAUCUGCAUCGCCGCUGCGAGAAACCUUCACCCUGACCAGCCGUUCACUCUUUUCAGUGUAAACACACUGCACGUCUCGAGUCACUAUAUCAAUAUCCAAAACCCAAGAGUCCUCAAGAGUUCAAAACUCUCAAAAAAGGGUCUGGAAGUGAAGUGUAGUGGAAAAUCUUCCCUCCUUGAAUCUCCAGUGCUGUGUGUGCGGUGUGAUGUUAUGACAGCUCUUACAGAUGUACAUGCUCCACUUUUCCAUACAACAACACUUCAUAGUGACCACGUCCUGUCAGGC